rnacentral:rRNA from 1 species
UACAGAGGGGGCAAGCGUUGUUCGGAAUUACUGGGCGUAAAGGGCGCGUAGGCGGCCUUCUAAGUCGAACGUGAAAUCCCUGGGCUCAACCCAGGAACUGCGUCCGAUACUGGAAGGCUUGAAUCCGGGAGAGGGAUGCGGAAUUCCAGGUGUAGCGGUGAAAUGCGUAGAUAUCAGGAGGAACACCAGUGGCGAAGGCGGUGCUCUGGGCCGGAACUGACGCUGAGGAGCGAAAGCGUGGGGAGCAAACAGG